AAGGUCUGGUUAUGCCCCCGUCAGACAGAAUGGGCAGGUGCCCAGGCACCCUUGCCUCCCCAACACACUGUAAAAGGUCUGGUUAUGCCCCCGUCAGACAGAAUGGGCAGGUGCCCAGGCACCCUUGCCUCCCCAACACACUGUAAAAGGUCUGGUUAUGCCCCCGUCAGACAGAAUGGGCAGGUGCCCAGGCACCCUUGCCUCCCCAACACACUGUAAAAGGUCUGGUUAUGCCCCCGUCAGACAGAAAAGGCAUGUGCCCAGGCACCC